AUUGAACGCUGGCGGCAGGCCUAACACAUGCAAGUCGAACGAGUGGCGGACGGGUGAGUAAUGUCUGGGAAACUGCCUGCUGUAGGGGGAUAACUACUGGACACGGUAGCUAAUACUGCAUACCAUCAGAUGUGCCCAGAUGGGAUUAGCUAGUUGGUGGGUUAACGGCUCACCAAGGCGACGAUCCCUAGCUGGGCUGAGAGGAUGACCAGCCACACCGGAACUGAGACACGGUCCGGACUCCAACGGGAGGCAGCAGUGGGGAAUAUUACACAAGUGGCGCAACGCUGAUGCAGCCAUGCCGCGUGUAUGAAGAAGGCCUUCGGGUUGUAAAGGACUUUCAGCGGGGAGGCGUUACCCGCAGAAGAAGCACCGGCUAACUCCGUGCCAGCCGCCGCGGUAAUUC
rnacentral:rRNA from 1 species